UUUAUCUUAUUGAAUGAUUGCUUUGUGAAAAAUUCAUGAUUUACAUAGUAUAUAAUGAUAAGAUUUUUUUAAAAAAAUGCAUUCCUAUUUUAUGUGUAUGAAUAUUUGCUUGCACAUAUGUGCGUACGUACCACAUAAGUACUGGACUGCAGAAGCUAGAAGAGGGCAUCAGGUCCCCUGGGACUCCAUCAUACGAGCCACCCUACCCUUGCAAGAGCCGCAAAUGCUCUUAACCUGCCCUGGUCAUUAAAUGUUGUAUACUUUAAAAUUGGAGAAUGCUUUUAUCCAGCGAUAUUCUCAAGACUAAGGUAAGCAGUCUCAGGCGGUAUUCAGAAGGAGAUGACCGUGUAGAGGGAGAAACACUCCUUUUGAGAGUUCUUUAAUUCCUCCAAUCUUGUUGGUCAUGUUAGAAUCCGGAGUGUUGGGACAGCGGCUGUUAAUAUGUGCCUUGUGGCAACGGGAGGAGCGGAUGCCUAUUACGAGAUGGGGAUCCACUGCUGGGACAUGGCUGGAGCUGGCAUCAUCGUCAUAGAGGCUGGCGGAGUGCUGCUGGAUGUGACAGGUGGACCAUUCGAUUUGAUGUCUCGGAGAAUAAUUGCUGCAAGUAAUAUAGCAUUAGCAGAAAGAAUAGCCAAAGAACUUGAGAUAAUACCUUUACAACGAGACGACGAAAGUUAGGCACGUAGAACCGCAUCCAGCUCCGUCACACCUGCUCUCCCUGGGAUGUUUAAAGAUGUAUGAUGUCACUGAUUUAAAUUUAACUUUGCAGUCCUGAUUUUUAAGCGGGAACUUUUUUUUACAGAUGACAUGUUCAAAAGUAGAUGGAAUAUUUGAUUAUUGAAAGAAAAUUUGCAUGUAAUAAUAUCCUUGGGGAAAAUAUACAGGAAGUAUAAUUAAUGAACUAGCCAUUGAAAUAGUCCCCAGCCCAUAUGAUCCCUUUCAACUUAAUUUACUAUUUAUAUGCACAGUUCUUAACUAGAAAGUUUUCUUUUUUGUAAGCGGUUUUCUCUUUGUUCCAAAAGCCAUAUUUGAUUAAGUCUGUAAGGCUGUAACCAGCAGGCUCUCCCUGUGCAGAGGGCCUUCGUGUUUUAUUAAUCACUGUAAUACAGCACCUAGUGCAGAGCCAGUCAGACAGUAGGCGAUCUCCAAUCGACACCUCACACUGAGUGCUUGAAGCUGCAAUUCCUGCUUCUAAUGUGUCAGAAUAAGAUAACCAUUCUACUGUGGCUUCCUGUUUUGAAGUAAAAGUUUCCUCACUGUCCUUUUACAUUUCAUAUUGUUGUGCCAUUUCAUAGGGCCACCCUGCCAGAGGCCAUUGCUUCUAGUUGGCAUUUCUGCAGUUAGUAUACUGCUGUGUGUUGUAGGUUCUGUUUGGAGCCCCCACGCUAGAGAGAAAUUUCCACAGACGUCUUCCAUGUACCUGGUGCAGUUAGUGGCAGUGUGACGUUUUAGGAAAUGCAGUAUUCACAUUCAGAUCCAUACCGUGGUGUUGGCUGGUGUGACCUGUGUAUUGUGGCGUUCAUGGUGAACUUUUUGAUUUCUUUCAAAACUUGCUGAAUUUCACCACUGCUCUCUUUGGCUAUUCUAUAAGGUCUUGGGCCUCUCAAACACAAGAAAAUGCAAUGACUCCUAUUCCUUUUCAAAGGAUUAAUUCAUUGUCCAGCCUUGGCGCUUGGCAUAGGAGCAGACUUUGUUCUUAGUAUGUUUGAACCUUGCGUUGGAUAAAAUGAGGUGUUCUUGUAAAGUUCCAAGGCAGUUAUUACCUUGUUGUUGGACGAUUUGAUAUAUUAAAUCUAUAUGAUACUCUGAUUUGGACCGUGCAAUUACUGUAUUUAUGCUGCUAAUUACAUGCAUUUAAAACAUCAGGAACCAUGUAAAUCCUAUUACAAGACAGGUUGCUUUUGCAAUUAAAUUUAUUUACUUACAAAU
rnacentral:lncRNA from 1 species